rnacentral:rRNA from 1 species
GACGUAGGGUCCAAGCGUUGUCCGGAUUUAUUGGGCGUAAAGAGCUCGUAGGCGGUUUGUUGCGUCGGCUGUGAAAUCCCGAGGCUCAACCUCGGGUCUGCAGUCGAUACGAGCAAACUAGAGUGUUGCAGGGGAGACUGGAAUUCCUGGUGUAGCGGUGAAAUGCGCAGAUAUCAGGAGGAACACCGGUGGCGAAGGCGGGUCUCUGGGCAACAACUGACGCUGAGGAGCGAAAGCGUGGGGAGCGAACAGG